rnacentral:tRNA from 1 species
GGGCGCGUAGUUCACCGGUAGAACGCUUCACUGAUAAUGAAGAAGUAGAAGGUUCGAUUCCUUCCGCGCCCACUA